GAUGAACGCUGGCGGUAUGCUUAACACAUGCAAGUCGAACGGACUCUUCGGAGUUAGUGGCGGACGGGUGAGUAACGCGUGAGAAUCUGGCUUUGGGUUCGGGACAACCACUGGAAACGGUGGCUAAUACCGGAUGUGCCGAGAGGUAAAAGAGAAAUUGCCUGAAGAUGAGCUCGCGUCUGAUUAGCUAGUUGGUGAGGUAAAGGCUCACCAAGGCAGCGAUCAGUAGCUGGUCUGAGAGGAUGACCAGCCACCCUGGGACUGAGACACGGCCCAGACUCCUACGGGAGGAAGCAGUGAGGAAUUUUCCGCAAUGGGCGAAAGCCUGACGGAGCAAUUCCGCGUGAGGGAAGAAGGCUCUUGGGUUGUAAACCUCUUUUCUUAGGGAAGAACAAAAUGACGGUACCUAAGGAAUCAGCAUCGGCUAACUCCGUG
rnacentral:rRNA from 1 species